CUUCUGCAAUGUGACCUGCCUGAAACUUGGGCGCUCCUUCAGUCUGGAUGUUGAUGGCAGGACAGGGGGGCGCCUGGACCAUGGGCGACGUGGUAGAGAAGAGUUUGGAAGGGCCGCUGGCACCUUCUACGGAUGAGGCCUCCCAGAAAAGAGGAGACCUGGUAGAAAUCUUAAAUGGGGAUAAGGUAAAAUUCGAUGACACGGGACUCUCCUUAAUUCUGCAGAAUGGCCUGGACACCCUCCGCGUGGAGAAUGCUCUGACAGAUGUCAUCUUGUGUGUGGACAUUCAGGAAUUCUCCUGCCACCGCGUGGUGCUUGCCGCAGCCAGCAACUAUUUCAGGGCCAUGUUCUGCAAUGAUUUAAAGGAAAAGUAUGAGAAGAGGAUCAUUAUCAAAGGGGUCGAUGCUGAGACCAUGCACACUCUUCUGGACUACACAUACACCAGCAAGGCGCUGAUCACCAAGCAGAAUGUGCAACGGGUCCUGGAAGCUGCUAACCUUUUCCAGUUCCUGCGGAUGGUGGAUGCCUGUGCUAGCUUCCUAACAGAAGCCUUGAAUCCAGAAAACUGUGUUGGAAUACUGAGGCUGGCAGAUACACACUCCUUGGACAGCCUGAAAAAGCAGGUGCAAAAUUACAUCAUCCAAAACUUUGUGCAGAUUCUGAACUCUGAGGAGUUCCUAGAACUUCCCGUGGACACUCUGUACCACAUCUUGAAGAGUGAUGAGCUGUAUGUAACAGAGGAGGCUCAGGUGUUUGAGACUGUGAUGAGUUGGGUCCGGCACAAACAGGCAGAACGACUCUGCUUGCUCCCCUACCUCCUUGAGAAUGUGCGCUUGCCACUGCUGGACCCGUGGUACUUUGUGGAGACGGUGGAGGCAGAUCCUCUCAUCAGACAGUGCCCGGAGGUCUUCCCGCUGCUUCAGGAAGCCAGGAUGUACCACCUUUCAGGCAAUGAGAUCAUUUCCGAGCGCACCAAGCCCAGGAUGCAUGAGUUUCAGUCUGAGGUAUUCAUGAUCAUUGGUGGCUGCACAAAGGAUGAACGUUUUGUGGCGGAGGUAACCUGCCUGGACCCCCUGAGGCGCAGCCGCCUGGAGGUGGCCAAGCUCCCCAUGACGGAGCAUGAGCUGGAGAGUGAGAACAAGAAGUGGGUGGAGUUUGCAUGCGUGACAUUAAAAAAUGAGGUCUACGUCUCAGGUGGCAAAGAGACACAGCAUGAUGUUUGGAAAUAUAAUUCUUCAAUCAACAAAUGGAUUCAAAUUGAGUAUUUGAACAUAGGCCGCUGGAGGCAUAAAAUGGUGGUAUUAGGUGGCAAGGUCUAUGUGAUUGGAGGUUUUGAUGGCUUACAGAGGAUCAACAAUGUGGAGACCUAUGAUCCCUUCCAUAACUGCUGGUCAGAGGCAGCACCCCUUCUUGUCCACGUCAGUUCCUUCGCAGCUACCAGCCAUAAGAAGAAACUCUAUGUGAUUGGGGGCGGGCCCAAUGGGAAACUGGCCACAGACAAGACUCAGUGUUAUGACCCUUCAACCAAUAAAUGGAAUUUAAAGUCGUCCAUGCCGGUGGAGGCUAAAUGCAUCAAUGCUGUCAGUUUCCGGGACCGCAUCUAUGUUGUUGGAGGGGCUAUGAGAGCGCUGUACGCCUACAGCCCUCUGGAAGACAGCUGGUGCCUGGUGACCCAGCUCAGCCACGAGAGGGCCAGCUGCGGCAUCGCGCCCUGCAACAACCGGCUCUACAUCACUGGGGGGCGGGACGAGAAGAACGAGGUCAUCGCCACGGUGCUGUGUUGGGACCCCGAGGCCCAGAAACUGACGGAGGAGUGUGUCCUGCCCCGGGGGGUGUCGCACCACGGCAGUGUCACCAUCAGGAAAUCUUACACCCACAUCCGGAGGAUCGUGCCCGGAGCCGUGUCGGUGUGACUGCGGGAGGGCGGAGCCACGGGGGCGCGGGGCGAGGUGCCAGGAGACCUCCCUCCUCACCUGUUGCCCGGGUUCGUCCCACUUCAGACAGCAGGCUGGGCUGGAGCUACAGGCCACACACCUGGGUUCCCCGCUGCUCCGCAUGGGAGCUCCUUUUGGAAGUCACAGCUUUGGGACACCAGCCAGGAAUGUUUGUGCGACCUACCUCAGGAGGGAAGAAGAGUAAUAUGUAACAUUCAGGACAGACCUGUCCCCUGCCAGGUUCUGUGCCAAGCACUUUUGUGUAUCAAUUUGUUUAACCACCAUACUGACCUGGUCACUGGACAUUAUCACUUCUGUUUUACAGCUAUCCCAGCACCAAAGCAUCUCUAAGGGUCUCCUGAUUUCUGAAGUUUGGACAAAGAGCAAAAUAAGAUAUGAGACUUCCUGGCUACAUAUUCUUUGAGAUGGUUUGUGGGGACCCUCCAUUUGGACUGCCAUUGGGAUCACCCAGUUCCAGCUGACGGGCCAUCUGAACCUGACUGAGGUGCCAGUUUUCUGUCAUUUAGGAUUGAAUCCAACUGGUUGUUUUCAAUACUUCAAGGUAGAAGAAACUCCUACUUUAUUAUUCUCCUUUGUGCCUAGUAUAAAUGUUACGGAACCAGGCUGGAAUGCUGGUGGAAAAACCAAGCGGCACUCAGAGAUCUUGGUGUAUCAGAGAUUUAUUUAACACCAGCGGGCUCAGAGGAGACUGUUUCUCCAAAGAUCUGAGCGCCGAAUGCAAGUGGGGAGGGUAAUUUACAGUUGUCAGCUUCCAUAAGUGUGGGGGUUUUCGUGAGCACAGCAAACCAAGGAAGAACCCGGAGGAGUGGUCUCUAAGCUAGAGACCAGAGCUUGUUUUAGUCCCGUUGGCCAUCUUUGGCGCAGUAUUUUAUUCAUUUCUCUGACAUAAGUACUUACAUAGAAAGUACUCAAAUACUAACAGGAUGAAUCGAAAUACUGGAAAUUGUUGUAGUUUAGUGUAAAUUAAAAUGCAGACCUCGAUCACCUUAAUUACAACUUCAAUGGGUAUGGUUGGUUUUGCAUAUAUUUUAGGAUCAGAAAGUAGACUCAACAAGGAAAUGAGUUACCAGCAGGGGUGAGGCAAUAAAGGAGAGUUGACUGUAGUAAACCAGCUUAGUCCAGAAAAUAUUAAAGGGAACUCGUUUGUGAAGAAAUAUGUUUUGAAUAGUUGUGAAGCAUAGCUCCCAGACUUGGGGUGGGGUCUGCCACCUGCUUCUUAAUAUUCCUUUACUCUCCUAUUCUCUUUUUCAUCCUUCUGAUCACUCCCCACCUAUUAAAAAAGAGGAUAUAGGGGCACCUGGGUGGCUCAGUCAGUUGCGGUUAACCAUCUGACUCUUGAUUUUGGCUCAGGUCAUGAUUUCACGGUUUGUGGG